rnacentral:rRNA from 1 species
GCAUUAGCUAGUUGGUGAGGUAACGGCUCACCAAGGCCACGAUGCAUAGCCGACCUGAGAGGGUGAUCGGCCACAUUGGGACUGAGACACGGCCCAAACUCCUACGGGAGGCAGCAGUAGGGAAUCUUCGGCAAUGGACGAAAGUCUGACCGAGCAACGCCGCGUGAGUGAAGAAGGUUUUCGGAUCGUAAAACUCUGUUGUUAGAGAAGAACAAGGAUGAGAGUAACUGUUCAUCCCUUGACGGUAUCUAACCAGAAAGCCACGGCUAACUACGUGCCAGCAGCCGCGGUAAUACGUAGGUGGCAAGCGUUGUCCGGAUUUAUUGGGCGUAAAGCGAGCGCAGGCGGUUUCUUAAGUCUGAUGUGAAAGCCCCCGGCUCAACCGGGGAGGGUCAUUGGAAACUGGGAGACUUGAGUGCAGAAGAGGAGAGUGGAAUUCCAUGUGUAGCGGUGAAAUGCGUAGAUAUAUGGAGGAACACCAGUGGCGAAGGCGGCUCUCUGGUCUGUAACUGACGCUGAGGCUCGAAAGCGUGGGGAGCAAACAGGAUUAGAUACCCUGGUAGUCCACGCCGUAAACGAUGAGUGCUAAGUGUUGGAGGGUUUCCGCCCUUCAGUGCUGCAGCUAACGCAUUAAGCACUCCGCCUGGGGAGUACGACCGCAAGGUUGAAACUCAAAGGAAUUGACGGGGGCCCGCACAAGCGGUGGAGCAUGUGGUUUAAUUCGAAGCAACGCGAAGAACCUUACCAGGUCUUGACAUCCUUUGACCACUCUAGAGAUAGAGCUUCCCCUUCGGGGGCAAAGUGACAGGUGGUGCAUGGUUGUCGUCAGCUCGUGUCGUGAGAUGUUGGGUUAAGUCCCGCAACGAGCGCAACCCUUAUUGUUAGUUGCCAUCAUUCAGUUGGGCACUCUAGCAAGACUGCCGGUGACAAACCGGAGGAAGGUGGGGAUGACGUCAAAUCAUCAUGCCCCUUAUGACCUGGGCUACACACGUGCUACAAUGGGAAGUACAACGAGUUGCGAAGUCGCGAGGCUAAGCUAAUCUCUUAAAGCUUCUCUCAGUUCGGAUUGCAGGCUGCAACUCGCCUGCAUGAAGCCGGAAUCGCUAGUAAUCGCGGAUCAGCACGCCGCGGUGAAUACGUUCCCGGGCCUUGUACACACCGCCCGUCACACCACGAGAGUUUGUAACACCCGAAGUCGGUGAGGUAACCUUUUUGGAGCCAGCCGCCUAAGGUGGGAUAGAUGAUUGGGGUGAAGUCGUAACAAGGUAGCCGUAUCGGAAGGUGCGGCUGGAUCACCUCCUUU